AUGGCGCUCACAAUAGCCCAAAGCCUGGCGCUGGGAGGAGUUAGGGGCGUGGGGCAGGAAGCAGCUACUGGGCUUUCGGGGAGAAGGUCGGAGGCGUGGUUACCCAAGAGACCCCACUGGCUUUGGUCAUCAAACUCAAGCAGAGCCCAAUGCUGGGCUGGGGCAAACAAAAUGAGGGCUGAAGACCCAGCGAUUCCAACUUCCCAGUUCAGCUCUUCCUUGGAAACUGGAUCAAAAGGGAGCACAGACUUAACCCAAAUAGUGACAAAAGAUCACACAAGUCAAAAAAAAGAAAGAAAGAAAGAAAGAAACCAAUCCAGUUUGUCACUGUUCCCUCUGAGUUUCUGAGGUCUGAACUUUCGCUGCUUCUACACCGCCGUCUUGACCGGAAGUCCCUGGAUUGAUGCACUUCUAAGCCAAUACAAAGGACAUGAACCUAGUGUGAGACUCGAGGUUGACAUAUGUUAAACGUAGGUCUUCCUUAUAUCCACACUCUUUGUGAAAAUACUUUCAGAAAAGUACCAAAGUUUGGCUAUCAUCCUGGCUCCCUCUAUCCCUGAUAAUAAAGGAAAAAUCAGUCGAGGGAAUGAUACUUCC
rnacentral:lncRNA from 1 species